CUGGGCUACUCUCCUUGUCUCUGGCUGCUCUCCAGGCCCUGGGAUGGAGGCCAUUCCUAUGGCAUCUUCUUGGAGGACUUCAUGUUCUAAAGGCAUCACAGCUGAGCCAUGAUUGCUUCCAGGGCUCUUUGAUGCAGAUUCUUGCCUCUGAAACAUAGUGAUGAGCCCAGUGGACUUCUGGGCCCACUGUAUAUUAUCGGGGCACCUUUGACUUAGGUUAUUACUCAUUAAACACAACGUAUUAAGAUACAAGGCACCGCUGGAACUAACCGGAGACUUCUCUCAACCAGGGCUCAUCUAGAAAAAGAAAUCCAGAAUCCCCAUACUUUGCAAGCCCACCUUCCCAGAGAACAGGAGCGUCAGUUUCUUCCAUAUCCCAGGGUGGACCGCGCCUCUGCAACA
rnacentral:lncRNA from 1 species